rnacentral:rRNA from 1 species
GACGAACGCUGGCGGCGUGCUUAAUACAUGCAAGUCGAACGGAAAGGCCAUGCUCUUGCUGGGUGCUUGAGUGCCGAACGCGUGAGAAAAACGCGUGUAAACCCUCCUUGUAUUUGGGGUAUAACUUGGAAAAAGGGGCGAUUACAGGGUAGAAUAUCCUGCUGCGCGUGGGUGGAUGGUAAGAUUCGGUGGUUGGGGAUGGUAUCGAUGCUUACCAGCUGGAUGGUGGGGUAGGGAAUUACAAAGGUUUUGAAGGGUAGGCGGCCUGAGAGGGUGACCGGCCACAAUGGUACUGAGAUACGGACCAGUCGGCUACGGGAGGCAGCGGUGGAGAAUAUUGCGCAGUGGGCGGAAGCCUGAUGCAGCAACGCCGCGUGCGUGAUGACGUGCUUCGAGUUGUAAACCGCUGUGGACGGUGACGAAGAGAGAGUGACGGUAAUGGGUAAGAAAGCACCGGCUAACUACGUG